rnacentral:rRNA from 1 species
UCUUGACCAAAUUACGUGCCAGCAGUCGCGGCAACACGCAGAAGACAAGUGUUAUUCAUCUUUAAUCGGUUUAAAGGGUACCUAGACGGAAAAUCAAGCCAUAGUAGGGACUAAUUUUCUAGAGUUUUAUGGAAGAAAGUCGAAUAUCUGGAGUAGAGAUAAAAUAUAAUGAUACCAGAGAGACGGGUAACGGCAUAGGCAACUUUCUAUGUAAAAACUGACGUUGAGAGACGAAGCCCUGGGUAACGAUAAGGAUUAGAUACCCCAGUAGUCCAGGGAGACAAUGAUGAGUGUCAUAGGCUAGAAAACCUAGUAUAUAAAUGAAAGUGCAAGCACUCCACCUUAAGACUAAAGCGGCAACGCCCAAAUUGAAAUCAUUAGACCGUUCCUGAAACCAGUAGUGAAGUAUGUUAUUUAAUUCGAUGAUCCGCGAAUAACCUUACCACGUUUUGAAUAUUUGAUUGAUACAAGCGCUGCACGGCUGUCUUUAGUUAAUGUCGUGAGAUUUUGGUUAACUCCUUUAAUUAACGCAAACCCUUGUUUUAUUUACAU